CGACAGCCUGAUAAUGCCAAGGCCUUGUAUCGGGCCGGAGUGGCCUUUUUCCAUCUGCAGGACUAUGACCAGGCCCGCCACUACCUCCUGGCUGCCGUGAAUAGGCAGCCUAAAGAUGCCAACGUCCGGCGGUACCUCCAGCUGACACAGUCAGAACUCAGCAGCUACCAUAGAAAAGAGAAGCAGCUCUACCUGGGCAUGUUUGGUUAACAAAGAAGAAAGAUGCUCCUCCAGUUGAACUUAGGUGGACCAUUAAACAUGCAUGAAGGAGAAAUCUGAGCCUCAGCAAGAGAAAUUAACCCUAUACCUCUGACCCAGUUCCAGGAUCCAUGUGCAGGAUAUGCAGGUUUGUUACAUAGGGAAACGUGUGCCUCGGUGGUUUGCUGCACCUAUCAACACAUCACCUCGGUAUUAAGUCCAGCAUGUAUUAGCUAUUUUUCCUCAUGUUCUCCCACCCCCCGCCACAGCCCCUGUUAAAUUAAUUUCUUAUUCUCCUUAAUAUUCCAUACACAUUCAGAUUCCUUCUCCCCUACAAAAAUAUUUGCUAUUUUGUCCUUGCUAUUUCUCAUACUUAGAUCAUUCAUACACUAUAUUUAUUUUUUCAUUAAACUAUUUUAAAACCUUUGG
rnacentral:lncRNA from 1 species